GACGAACGCUGGCGGCGUGCUUAACACAUGCAAGUCGAACGGAAAGGCCCUGCUUUUGUGGGGUGCUCGAGUGGCGAACGGGUGAGUAACACGUGAGUAACCUGCCCUUGACUUUGGGAUAACUUCAGGAAACUGGGGCUAAUACCGGAUAGGAGCUCCUGCUGCAUGGUGGGGGUUGGAAAGUUUCGGCGGUUGGGGAUGGACUCGCGGCUUAUCAGCUUGUUGGUGGGGUAGUGGCUUACCAAGGCUUUGACGGGUAGCCGGCCUGAGAGGGUGACCGGCCACAUUGGGACUGAGAUACGGCCCAGACUCCUACGGGAGGCAGCAGUGGGGAAUAGUGCACAAUGGGCGGAAGCCUGAUGCAGCAACGCCGCGUGCGGGAUGACGGCCUUCGGGUUGGAAACCGCUUUCGCCUGUGACGAAGCGUGAGUGACGGUAAUGGGUAAAGAAGCACCGGCUAACUACGUG
rnacentral:rRNA from 1 species